CCUACGGGAGGCAGCAGUGGGGAAUAUUGCACAAUGGGGGGAACCCUGAUGCAGCGACGCCGCGUGGGUGAAGGAGUAUUUCGGUAUGUAAAGCCCUAUCAGCAGGGAAGAACAAUGACGGUACCUGACUAAGAAGCACCGGCUAAAUACGUGCCAGCAGCCGCGGUAAUACGUAUGGUGCAAGCGUUACUCGGAAUCACUGGGCGUAAAGAGCGCGUAGGCGGGAUAGCAAGUCAGAUGUGAAAACCCGGGGCCCAACCCCGGGAGUGCAUUUGAAACUGCCAUGCUGGAGUGCCGGAGAGGUAAGCGGAAUUCCUAGUGUAGCGGUGAAAUGCGUAGAUAUUAGGAGGAACACCAGUGGCGGAGGCGGCUUACUGGACGGUAACUGACGCUGAGGCUCGAAAGCGUGGGGAGCAAACAGGAUUAGAUACCCGAGUAGUC
rnacentral:rRNA from 1 species